GUGUGUUCCAGGUAAAUCCGGUUCACUUUAACACUGAGGCGUGACGACGAGGCACUACGGUGCUGAAGCAACAAAUGCCCUGCUUCCAGGAAAAGCCUCUAAGCAUCAGGUAACAUCAAAUCGUACCCCAAACCGACACAGGUGGUCAGGUAGAGAAUACCAAGGCGCUUGAGAGAACUCGGGUGAAGGAACUAGGCAAAAUGGUGCCGUAACUUCGGGAGAAGGCACGCUGACACGUAGGUGAAGUGAUUUACUCAUGGAGCUGAAGUCAGUCGAAGAUACCAGCUGGCUGCAACUGUUUAUUAAAAACACAGCACUGUGCAAACACGAAAGUGGACGUAUACGGUGUGACGCCUGCCCGGUGCCGGAAGGUUAAUUGAUGGGGUCAGCGCAAGCGAAGCUCCUGAUCGAAGCCCCGGUAAACGGCGGCCGUAACUAUAACGGUCCUAAGGUAGCGAAAUUCCUUGUCGGGUAAGUUCCGACCUGCACGAAUGGCGUAAUGAUGGCCAGGCUGUCUCCACCCGAGACUCAGUGAAAUUGAACUCGCUGUGAAGAUGCAGUGUACCCGCGGCAAGACGGAAAGACCCCGUGAACCUUUACUAUAGCUUGACACUGAACAUUGAGCCUUGAUGUGUAGGAUAGGUGGGAGGCUUUGAAGUGUGGACGCCAGUCUGCAUGGAGCCGACCUUGAAAUACCACCCUUUAAUGUUUGAUGUUCUAACGUGGACCCGUUACCCGGGUUGCGGACAGUGUCUGGUGGGUAGUUUGACUGGGGCGGUCUCCUCCUAAAGAGUAACGGAGGAGCACGAAGGUUGGCUAAUCCUGGUCGGACAUCAGGAGGUUAGUGCAAUGGCAUAAGCCAGCUUGACUGCGAGCGUGACGGCGCGAGCAGGUGCGAAAGCAGGUCAUAGUGAUCCGGUGGUUCUGAAUGGAAGGGCCAUCGCUCAACGGAUAAAAGGUACUCCGGGGAUAACAGGCUGAUACCGCCCAAGAGUUCAUAUCGACGGCGGUGUUUGGCACCUCGAUGUCGGCUCAUCACAUCCUGGGGCUGAAGUAGGUCCCAAGGGUAUGGCUGUUCGCCAUUUAAAGUGGUACGCGAGCUGGGUUUAGAACGUCGUGAGACAGUUCGGUCCCUAUCUGCCGUGGGCGCUGGAGAACUGAGGGGGGCUGCUCCUAGUACGAGAGGACCGGAGUGGACGCAUCACUGGUGUUCGGGUUGUCAUGCCAAUGGCACUGCCCGGUAGCUAAAUGCGGAAGAGAUAAGUGCUGAAAGCAUCUAAGCACGAAACUUGCCCCGAGAUGAGUUCUCCCUGAGACUUAAAGUCUCCUGAAGGAACGUUGAAGACGACGACGU
rnacentral:rRNA from 1 species